GGGAGACACCAAAGAGAGAGAUACGAUAGAGAAAACAAAUGACAGGAGGAAGAAAGAAAGAAGAAGACAGUCGGUGCGGAGGUGGUGAUAGGGGCGGAGGAGACGGUAUACUGGGAAGCGAUGGUAAGCGCCACAGACGGUACAUCAACUCGCUUCCAAUGGUGACUCCUUCACUUCCUUUACCAUCACCACCUCUGGCAACAUGAAUCCUAGAUAAUUGCAUCAUGUUCCUAUCACUGCACCAAGUCUAUUUCUCGUCUCCUUCCUGUUUCUCGGCUUAUAUGUUAUUUGGUAGGAGAAACAUGUUUAAUAGUAAUAACUUGUUUAUUAGAUGGCAACUUGUAUUAUAACGGUUACUAUUUUUCCUUUCGCUCUACCUUUGAUGAUAUAUAUGUUGUGUAAAUGCCGUAGAAAUAAUAAUUGUAGAAGUUAACCAUAUGUGAGAACGGUAAUAACAACUGUAGACUAUAACUACAUAGUUAGAUGUUAAGGUUCAGACUGUAACGACAUAGUUAGACAUCUAUCUUGUAUGUAUUAACUAACAUAGUUAGACGUUAAGGUUCAGAUGUAGCAUGUACUAUAUUGUAUGUAUAACUCUGUUUAUUGUAGUAGACUGUAACAUCAUUGUUAGACGUCAAGUUGGUUGUUAGAUGUAGCAGAUAAAUGAGUUGGUUUUCCACCAUUCAUUCUUUCUCAUUCGUGUAGGUUAUGAACACGCUUAUGUUCUCCCUGGUGCUGCAAGGGAGCUAGCCACAACGAUGUAUCAAGAUCUGGCUACUGGUUAACCAAAAUUGGAUGUCCCUAUGCUACGGAUAGUGUCCUAUGGUUACCCUUCUCUGUGUUGGAUUUCCUUUGUUGAACCAUCUAUGUUUUAACCCACUUUUUGUAUUAUAUUGUCAUGUCUUAAACAUUUAUUGACAUUGCUAUCUAUAACUUCUAUUAAUAGUCACGAGUAUCUUCCUCCACAUUGUUAUGAUAACCACUAUUAGAUAUAUUAACAACUUUGUUUCAGCA
rnacentral:lncRNA from 1 species